ensembl:lncRNA
UUUGGCUUUGAAGAAAUGAAACAUUUUAAUAUGUCUUUUGAAAAAAAAAAAAAACUAAAUUCUCAACAAAGGUAAAUAUAUAUUAAUGGUUGUCUAAGCAGCGUUGCUCACUAUGCAAUACUUCUCCCUUCCAACGGUAUGUACACACCAGGACACAAAACAGGAAAAACAAACAUCAUGAGACUGGAUGGUAGACUGUUUAAAGGGGGAUGUCUACCUAAAUGGCAACCCAUACGAUACAGCCACUCCUCUGGGGCACUUUGAGACCAACGAAUAACUGAUAAUCAUAAUAAUAAUAAAUAACCCGGUCUUCUCAUUACAUUGCCAGUUAAAAUAUGAAAAACCCUGUUCAGCCUCGAACAAUCCAUAGGCGGUAUAAUGUUUGCAGUAGGUCUUCUAUCAUUAACAACGUCUAACACAUGCACCUGCAUACGAUGAGUCUGUGAAAUGUGUCUAUUAGAAUUUUUUUUUUGAGGUUGCCAGGUUUGCACGGUGUCCCCUCUUUUCAAGCUUUUUAGAAGCUUCCACCCACUGCUUAGUAAGGCUUUGCCUUUCUGCUAAACCUGCAUUCAUUCUAGAACAGCAUAGGAUCUGGAACAUAAAUAAAAUAAACACUUCAUUGAGGAACUCUGUUAAUACGCGUAGUAACUUAUGGUGGCGAGAGACUGUUUGGCCCAUUUAUACGUUUUAGUCCCACUGGUUGUAAAACUAUACGUUAAUGGUUUUGACCACAUCUUUCUAAUAAUAAAAAGGAAAACAAAAAAAGGUACAGACUAUGGAUCCCAAAGGUGUAAGUCAGCCUCUUUGAGAUAAUAAUCGUCCAAGAUGGGGUAAGCAGGAUUGACACGUGACCAAGUAAAAUUGUACCUAACCACAACGCCAAAGCCUCAGCUGGUGGUCUCUCACCCACCCACCCACACACACACACACACACACCCACAGGUGAACACCUCACCUGCCCCGGGCUUCAAACAACGCCAAUACCAUCUUCUUCUUCAUUCUUCACAAAGUCAAACGGCGGUUCUCUCCGAUUACGGUAAAUACAAACAAAAACACAGUUUCUCUAGAGCGUACUCGAUUCAAAACGCAAGCAAUCCAGGCCAUACUGCUCCGGAUUGUUCACUGCGCCUCCUCAAACGUUUCCAACAGGGGGCGGCUAUAGUGCAGCCAGCGGGACCCGAUUCGCGGCCCUGCGUUCAUUCAUUCAGCCUCUCGCUCCUCCUCCUAUAAUACACACAACACCAAUUCACUCUCCAACCUCUCUCCAACUGGGACUCGCAUCACACACACACGCACACACAAACACACACAUGUCCGACCACACUCCUAUUCUGAAGUAAAGGUAGUUUUAAGGAAACAGUAAUACGCACCCAUAGCAUAAUAGGCUUACCCUGAACCUGACCCCCCCUCCC